UGGGGAAUAUUGGACAAUGGGCGAAAGCCUGAUCCAGCCAUGCCGCGUGUGUGAAGAAGGUCUUCGGAUUGUAAAGCACUUUAAGUUGGGAGGAAGGGCAUUAACCUAAUACGUUAGUGUUUUGACGUUACCGACAGAAUAAGCACCGGCUAACUCUGUGCCAGCAGCCGCGGUAAUACAGAGGGUGCAAGCGUUAAUCGGAAUUACAGGGCGUAAAGCGCGCGUAGGUGGUUUGUUAAGUUGGAUGUGAAAUCCCCGGGCUCAACCUGGGAACUGCAUUCAAAACUGACUGACUAGAGUAUGGUAGAGGGUGGUGGAAUUUCCUGUGUAGCGGUGAAAUGCGUAGAUAUAGGAAGGAACACCAGUGGCGAAGGCGACCACCUGGACUAAUACUGACACUGAGGUGCGAAAGCGUGGGGAGCAAACA
rnacentral:rRNA from 1 species